AGGGACUUAGGCUAGCAAUUAGACCAACGGCCUUCAAAGCCGUCAGCGUGAGUGAAAAUCUCUCAGUCCCUG
rnacentral:tRNA from 24 species